UACAGAGGGUGCAAGCGUUGUUCGGAAUUAUUGGGCGUAAAGAGCGUGUAGGCGGCCAGAUAGGUCUGCUGUGAAAACUCGAGGCUCAACCUCGAGCUGUCGGCGGAAACCAUCUGGCUAGGAGUCCGGAAGAGGAGAGUGGAAUUCCCGGUGUAGCGGUGAAAUGCGCAGAUAUCGGGAAGAGCACCUGUGGCGAAGGCG
rnacentral:rRNA from 1 species